GGCCAAAAUGGUGAAACCCUGUUUCUAUUAAAAAUACAAAAAUUAGCUGGGCAUGGUGGCAGGCAUCUGUAAUCCCAGCUACUGGGAAGGAUGAGGCAGGAGAAUUGAUUGAACCUGGGAGGCGGAGGUUGCAAUGAGCCGAGAUUGCACCAUUGCACUCCAGCCUGGGUGACAAGAGUGAAACUGCUUCUCAAGAAAAAGAAAAGAGAGAGAGAGAGGAACAAUAAUCUGGGCCCCUGAAACCAGAUGAAACAACUGACAAUACAGAGUCUGAACUCAUGAUUUACAAACUGAGAGGGCCAUGGAAUGAUAAGGAACAAGUACAACUGGUCACAGAGCUCUGCACUUAACAACCCUCCACACACAUACACACACCAAGCAUUCAAGUUAAACGUUAACCUACUGUUAAUGUUUAUAUGGUAGAAAACAUCAGAUUUAUGCCAAAAUGCAGAUUAUAAAUCUACCCACAUUGAAUUCUGAAUAGAUUUGGAAAAUUGAUCUGCUUGCCUACUAAGUACAAUUUGUUUCUGCCUGUGGAUUCUGGGGGUUUUCCAUCAUUAACACAUUGAGGUUAUUCUGUCUGGCAGUGAUAGGGAACAAACAUUGGCCUAUUUAUUUCAGCAAAGGAGUUAGUUGCUAGGAAACAUUUCAACUUUAGUCAGGUAUUGCCAAUAGACUGCAACCACCUGAAAAUAUCUUAGAGAAAUUCUCGGUUAUAUUGACUUUACAGAGUUAAUUAGAUCUUAGUCUACCACCCGGUCCACUCGGGCUUCUAUACCAAAACACCUUAGACAGGGACAGUGUAAUUAUAAAGGACUAAAAUUUGUUAAUUAUAGUUCACGAAGCUGAGAAGUCCAAGAUCAAGUCACCAACAGAUUCUGGUGUCUAGUGAGGGCUGCUCUCUGUUUCUAAGAUGGCACCCUGUUGCUGCAUUCUCACAUGGCGGAAGGCAGAAGGUCAACAGGGACCCAACCGAGCCCUUUUAAAAGGUCACCAAUCCAAUUCAUGAGAAUGGUGCCUUCAUGACUUAAUCACAUCCUAAAGGCCCCAUAUCUGAAUACUGUCAAAAUGGGUCUUAGUUUCCAACAAAUGAAUUUGGGGGCACACAUACCUUUAAACCAUGGCUCCUACUAAGCACAUUUCUGUUAAAUCAUACUGCCUGAAUUCUUUCCCCGUUAUUGCAAGUCACAAGCAGAAGAUAAUUUACUCGCAAAAUUAUUUUUUUUGCAAAUCUAUUUCAGUUUUUAUGAAUAAAGACAGAUUCACUCAAAUAAUUCACAUAAAUGUAUUUGUAAACGUUAUACCUGAGGAGGAAAUGAAUAUAAAAAAAAAAAGUUGAUUGAUUUAAGGGCACUGAAACUGCUCAUCAAUUAUUUAACAAGUACAUACGGAGCUUCUACACUGGGCCAGUAGUUACGCUAGGUACGAUGGUCUCAAUAAGCAACAAAAAUUAUUUUCUACAAGAUGCUUAAGGUCAAUUAUACAUAUGGAAUGUUUGAUUAUAGGAUCCAGAGUACUAUGGAGAGGGGUAGUAGGGACACUGAACUCAGUUUUAAUGGUCAGGAAAUUAGGGGAAGUAACUUUUAAACUAAGAAAGUUUGCUGGACAAAAGGCAAGUGAGAUUAUUUCAGGCAAAGGAAAGAACAUAAACAGAAGUCACCUCAGGGGUCUGAAAUGUGGCUAGGCCACUGGUUUUGUGUUCCUUCGUGAGUGAAAGACAUGCAGGGGGUAGGACAUCUAAAGAGUGGUUAGAUCAUACAGUGCCUUAGCCACAUUAAGAAGUUCAGGUUGGGGCCAGACAUGGUGGUUGACACCAGUAAUCCCACCACUUUGAGAGGCUGAGGUGGGAGGAGGUAGGAAAGAUCAAGUGUCCUUUCCUACACAUAGUUCUCUCUCAGUCUCUAGGAAUCAGGUGGUGGACUUCUCUAAAGCUGCACUUUUUUUUUUUUUUUUCCCAAGCAGCAUGGCUUGCCUGAUUGUUCUCUAGGAACUAGUCUAGCCUUUUCAGAUGAGAAAGUUACUUUGUCUACACAGAAGUUUUCUCAUGGUGAUUUGGUAUCUCCCUCAUCACCAAAACCUGGAUACAUGGUAGAUGGCCUAAAAUUGUUGAAUUAUCUAUCUUUCAAAUUUACAGUGUGAAUCGAUUUACGUUUCAGGUCCUGAAAGCUAUCAAAAUAACCAAAGUCCAUUUAUCUGAGGAGAUGGUAUUAAUAAUUAGUUGUGUAAGUAAAAAAGUCAAUAAAAGAUGAAGCAUAUCUGUAAAAAAGAUGAAUAUAUUUAAAAUAAAUUAAGGGUGAAUUUUAUUAUUUUGUUAUUAUUAUCAUAUCAUUUAUUUAUUUAUCAAUCUUUUAAGUAGGGGCAAGGGCCAAGUGUGGGUCUACUAUUCUGCACUGUCUUUCUUCUAUAAAAAUACACAGUUUAUUUUUGUUUCAAUAGAG
rnacentral:lncRNA from 1 species